ACCCNCNGCUGGGGAAUUUUUCCGCAAUGGGCGAAAGCCUGACGGAGCAAUACCGCGUGAGGGAGGAAGGCUCUUGGGUUGUAAACCUCUUUUCUCAGGGAAGAACACAAUGACGGUACCUGAGGAAUCAGCAUCGGCUAACUCCGUGCCAGCAGCCGCGGUAAUACGGAGGAUGCAAGCGUUAUCCGGAAUGAUUGGGCGUAAAGCGUCCGCAGGUGGUGAUGUAAGUCUGCUGUCAAAGCGUCUAGCUCAACUAGAUACAGGCAGUGGAAACUACAUGACUAGAGUGCGUUCGGGGCAGAGGGAAUUCCUGGUGUAGCGGUGAAAUGCGUAGAUAUCAGGAAGAACACCGGUGGCGAAAGCGCUCUGCUAGGCCGCAACUGACACUGAGGGACGAAAGCUAGGGGAGCGAAUGGGAUUAGAUACCCCAGUAGUCCUAGCCGUAAACGAUGGAUACUAGGCGUGGCUUGUAUCGACCCGAGCCGUGCCGUAGCUAACGCGUUAAGUAUCCCGCCUGGGGAGUACGCACGCAAGUGUGAAACUCAAAGGAAUUGACGGGGGCCCGCACAAGCGGUGGAGUAUGUGGUUUAAUUCGAUGCAACGCGAAGAACCUUACCAAGACUUGACAUGUCGCGAAUCCUGCUGAAAGGCGGGAGUGCCUUCGGGAGCGCGAACACAGGUGGUGCAUGGCUGUCGUCA
rnacentral:rRNA from 1 species